rnacentral:rRNA from 1 species
GAAUAUCGGACAAUGGGCGAAAGCCUGAUCCAGCUAUGCCGCGUGUGUGAAGAAGGUCUUCGGCUUGAAAAGCACUUUAAGCUGGGAGGAAGGGCAGUAAGCGAACACCUUGGUGUGUUGAAGUUACCGACAGAAUAAGCACCUGCCUACCGGGUGCCGGCAGCCGCGGUAAUACAGAGGGUGCAAGCGUGAAUCGGAAUUAAUGGGCGUAAAGCGCGCGUAGGUGGUUCGUUAAGUUGGAUGUGAAAUCCCCGGGCUCAACCUGGGAACUGCAUCAAAAACUGGCGAGCUAGAGUAGGGCAGAGGGUGGUGGAAUUUCCUGUGUAGCGGUGAAAUGCGUAGAUAUAGGAAGGAACACCAGUGGCGAAGGCGACCACCUGGGCUCAUACUGACACUGAGGUGCGAAAGCGUGGGGAGCAAACAGG